UUCUAAAGAGUAAGAGAGGUCAGGAAGAACCGGUGUGAAGAGAGGAAACAGGGGCUACCGAUAAUUAGGAAUGAAUGGGGGGAAAACCGUAAAACUAGAUUUCCCCGUCCCUAGCAUGAUAAAGCAGCUCUGGCAUUUGGCUUUCUGGUUGGGAGAAACAGAUACACAGCGAUGCCAAGGCAGGCUGGAAAUCAUCUUGUACCUACGGAAGCUGCUAUGAUGAGCCUCUCUUGGCCUGACCUGGGAACAUGUUCAUGGGCUAACAGGUACCCUUGGCUUUACAUUAAUUCCAACCUGGUUUCUCGAGGGAUGACUAACGUGUGGCAUUACUGAAAACAUGCAGUGGAAAAGGUUGUGGAGCCUUUCUGCCACUGUGCUUAGGAGGCAGUGACCUUGGGAUGGUUGGGGAGAAGAAGGUGGGAUGCUGCCUCCUGAUGAUUACUGGAAUGUGCCCACCUGCGCAGGAGCUCAAGACCAGCACUUUUCCAAGUGACGACUGUCUCCAGGCUGAUUCAAUGGCUU